rnacentral:misc_RNA from 1 species
CGAUAGACACUGGAAAAUACCAUUCUUUGUGAGCUUGCUUGUGUCGAUUACGCUGUUCACAACAACGAUUUUUGGGUUAUAUUCAUCAUCCUAUGGAAGAGAUCAAGUGCAGUUGGAUAUGGUUUCUUUUGCUAGGCCUGCUGAGUCGGAUGGAUAUUUUGUGGAAUCUGAUUUCCAGUCAUUUCAAUCAAAUGGAUUUGCCAAAAAUGAACCACCUAGGUUUGCG